GUAGUCCACGCCGUAAACGAUGGGUACUAGGUGUUGCAGGAAUUGACCCCUGCAGUGCCGAAGCUAACGCAUUAAGUACCCCGCCUGGGAAGUACGGCCGCAAGGUUAAAACUCAAAGGAAUUGACGGGGGCCCGCACAAGCGGUGGAGCAUGUGGUUUAAUUCGAUGCAACGCGAAAAACCUUACCUGGGUUUGACAUCCACUGACAGCCGUAGAGAUACGGUUUUCCCUUCGGGGACAGUGAGACAGGUGCUGCAUGGCUGUCGUCAGCUCGUAUCGUGAGAUGUCGGGUUAAGUCCCUUAACGAGCGCAACCCUUAUCCCUAGUUGCCAUCAUUUAGUUGGGCACUCUAUGGAGACUGCCGGUGUUAAACCGGA
rnacentral:rRNA from 1 species